GGCUAAAGCAUGGUGUAGUGGUUUGAGUGUCAGACUAGGAGUCUGGAGACCAGGGUUCAAAUCCCCUCUUAGCUA